GACGAACGCUGGCGGCGUGCUUAACACAUGCAAGUCGAACGGUAAGGCCCUUCGGGGUACACGAGUGGCGAACGGGUGAGUAACACGUGGGUGAUCUGCCCUGCACUUCGGGAUAAGCCUGGGAAACUGGGUCUAAUACCAGAUAGGACUCCGGACUGCAUGGUCUGGGGUGGAAAGUUUUUGCGGUGUGGGAUGGGCCCGCGGCCUAUCAGCUUGUUGGUGGGGUGAUGGCCUACCAAGGCGACGACGGGUAGCCGGCCUGAGAGGGUGACCGGCCACACUGGGACUGAGAUACGGCCCAGACUCCUACGGGAGGCAGCAGUGGGGAAUAUUGCACAAUGGGCGCAAGCCUGAUGCAGCGACGCCGCGUGAGGGAUGACGGCCUUCGGGUUGUAAACCUCUUUCAGCAUCGACGAAGCGAAAGUGACGGUAGGUGCAGAAGAAGGACCGGCCAACUACGUGCCAGCAGCCGCCGUAA
rnacentral:rRNA from 1 species